UUGAUCUGAAUUAUAACCCGACCCAAAAACUUCAUGUUGCUACCCGAUUAGUAUAAAAAGUGAGGUCUGUAGUGGUAGCGAAGAGGAUAGGCUAAUAGGGUUAGAGUCAUAGUGGAAUAUUACAGUAUAAAUAUUAUAAUAUUCUGCCAUUUGCGGUGGAUUUGUGAGAUAUUUGGGAAAUACACUGUAGUUAGGGUUUGAGAGUUUUAAGUGAUUGUAUCUUACUAUUUUUCAUCAUAGUGGAAUUUUUCUCUUGUUGCCCGUGGAUGUAAACCUUAUGGUCUAACCACAUAAAUACAAUGUUAUUCUUUUUCUU
rnacentral:misc_RNA from 1 species